UAUAACUUUAAUAUAAUUUACUAGAUAUAACCCAAAUAAUUAUGAACCCUGAAGAUAAUUAUGGAAAUACUGGAGGAUAUAUUGAGUCAUUCAACAACAGAAAGACUGCAUUAUACUUUGAUGACAGGACAUUUUAUAAACUAUUAUAGUUCUGUGUUUUGCUUCAUUAACACAAUUACAUGCCUUCUCUUCCAUACAUCCCCCAAAUAUAUAUCAGUUUUUAACAUUUUUGUUCAACUCUUUUUUUUUUGCUUCCGGGGAUUGAAGGGGGGCAGUGCUUAACCCCUGAGCAACAUGCCCAGACCUUUUUAUGUUUUAUUUAGAGACAGGGUCUUGCUAGGUUGCUCAGGGCCUUGCUAAGUAGCUGAGGCUGGCAUUGAACUUGGGAUCUUCCUGCCUUGGCCACUGGGAUUACAGGCAUGCGUCACUGCACCCAGUCUUUGUUCAACUCUUGAUAUUUGAGAACAGAAGUUUGACAGCAUAUAUUUCCCUGUGCUUCUUUAUGUAAUUGACUGUGUUAUUAAGAUAAUAGUAUUCAUUUACUCAUAACUCAGAAAACAAAUAGGAUCAUUUUCUUGGUCUAUGCUUAAUCUCAGCUCUCCACUGACAACCUAUUUAACUUGAUUUAACAUGAUUUAAGAUUUUUUUUUUUUUUUUGUUUUGAUGCCGAGCAUUUCUUUUUUUUUUUUUUAUUUAUUUUUUUUUUUAUUGUUGGUUGUUCAAAACAUUACAUAGUUCUUGAUAUAUCAUCUUUCACACUUUGCUUCAAGUGGGUUAUGAACUCCCAUUUUUAGCCCAUAUAACAAAAUCAUAGAAUUUGCAGGGAAAUGGAUGGCACUAGAGCAGAUUAUGCUAAGUGAAGCUAGCCAAUCCCUAAAAAGCAAAUGCCAAAUGUCUCCUUUGAUUUAAGAUUUUAAUCAAGGUGGUAUGUAAAUUAUUUCAACUUCUGUAGAGAGCAUAUCAAUAAUUUUGGUGCAACAAAUGGAAGUUUGUGAUUUAUAUCCAUGUUGAGAAAAUAUGCAGGGCUGGGUUUGUAACUCAGUGGUACAGUGCUUGCUUAGCACACACAAAGCUCUGGAUUCAAUCCCUAACAUAGGGAGGGAGGAAAGGAGGGAGAGAGAGAGAAAACAGUUACAAGGAAAAAAAUUAGUUAUGCCAAGAGUCCUUAUUUGGAAAUCUCAAAGCCUUUUCCUGACACUUCCAUGGACCACUGUAGUAUAAUAAUCACCCCAUUCACUUCACAGGGUUUUCACGAGGGUCACUGAUGAUAUAAUGGAUAUAGGAGAGUUUUAUAAUGUGCAGGACCUUUAUAUAUUUAAAAAGGAUGCUAUAUUUUCAUACCUACUAUAUGCAUAGAAAAGCAUGCUCAGUUGUGACUCCCAAUAGCAUUUCAGCCACAUGGAAUGUCUAUAUGUGAAUGUAGUUCUUGAGAUCUGGAUCACUGGAUAGGUAAAAACCAAGUGUACAUUUUUUUUAUAUUUUACCAACAGUCUGGACUAUAGCAUUUGUGCCUCUGAAGUUUCUGAUUUACCAGGGCUUACUACAUAGGGAUAAGCUGGUCUAGCCCAGGAGCUCCCUUUUAAUGUAAACAUUUAUUUUGCUUAUUUGAAACAAAGGGUUACAGUGCCAGUAACACAAGAAAGGGAACAGGCAGUCCAGUUCUCCAGAGCAAAAAUGAACUGGUAAAUAGAGUAAUUUUGGAUUGAGUUUGAUCUUCACUUUAAUAUGGGCCUCAGAGCUGGUGACAUAUAAGAAUAGAAACAUUCUCAGCAGCCUAUAAGGCCUUCUUUGGGGGACCUGGGUUAUUUAUUCAACAUUGUCUCAAAUUAGUAGCUAAAACUAUGAAGACUCAAAUUUGCCAAGGCCCUAGGAUAUUGGGCAUAAACUUGGCAAGGAAAGCAAUGAGAAGACAGACAAAGGAGUGUGUGGUGGUGGUGGUGGGGAACUUGCAGAAGCUCAGCAUCUCAAAGUGGGUUAUGGAUGUACAUUUAAUGGCGCGAAGAGCCAGUACAGUCUUACCCAUGGAUUUUACUCCUUCCUGGGACCUGUAAUCCUAAACCUGAUUAGAUGCUUCUUGUCUUCCUUCUCCUUUAAACAGCUCCUUCUGAUGUUUUUUCCUGUGCCUGCUUAAUCAUGUGACCUCCUUUCUCAUGGGAGGGAAGGUUUUCUCCUUAUCUCUUCCUUCCACGUCUGUUCUUAGCUAAGAGCUCCAGGCUCAGUAGGGUUGGACUACCUCUGGACAGAAGGGCUGACCUCAAGGUCAUCAGGAGCUGGGCCUAUUCUGUAUUCAGAUCACAAGUCCAGGACUGCCCACUACAAGUGCGCCUAUGCAUAAAAAAUAGGAUGGUAGCUGCAUUUGUCCUGCUUCCCCUCCUAUUUAUUUAUGGAGGUCAUUUUAUUUUUACCGUAGUAAAAAAAAAAAAAAAAAGCCAAAGUUGAUGCUAUAUUACAUGUUUAGGCCUCAUCCAUGAUGAUAAAUCUUAUACUGGAAGUGCAUUCUCUCUCAUUGCUUUAAUUGAAAGUGCUAAUGAAUUGCAAUCUAAUGGAUGAUGCCUUUAGAAUUUAAAAGAGUAUUUGUUUUCAUUUUCUUAAAGUAUAGAACUGGGUCUUUUCCUCCUAGACUUCUUUACAAACGGUGAAGUCCCUUCUCUGCAGGAUUCCCUGCAUCUUCUUUUGCCUUUGUGCAUCUGUUAUUUACCCCUCUGAAUUGAAUUUGAAAAAUCACUUAAAAUGAAAGCCAAAUCAUUGACGUUUUUGUUCUGCGCUGGGGUUGGGGGAGGGCUGAUGCUUUGUAUGAGUUAAAAGAACAGAUUACCCUCUCCUUUCUUUUUAUUUGUAGUUAAGACAUAUUUGAAUAUAUUUAUGGAAGAUAGUACAAUAAUUCAAUUGUUAUAGUCAAUGUAUAAUGAUCCAAUCAGGGUAAUUAGCACAUCGAUCUGCUCAAAUAUUUAUUAUUUCUAUGUGUUGGAAAACAUCUGUCUCUUCUAGUUAUUUUUAAGUAUGUCAAAAUUGUUGUAGACAAUAGUGACCCUACUGUGCUACAGAACACUGGAAGUGAUUCCUCCUAUUUGUCCUCAUUUCUUGCCUUUCUCCUCCCUGCAUGAUACUGAAGAAAGAGAGGGAAAACAUAACUGUCCAGGGCUGUGAAAUGGUUUGCAAGGACUUCCUGUGAGCUUCCUCUUUGGUUUUUCUUAGUCCCUGUGGAAAACAGUUUCUCCCUCUCUGCCUGUCUGUCUCUCUCUCACUCUCUCUGUGUAACCAGUGUAGGAAAAAAAGAAACUGGCUUAAGAAGACUGUCACUUAUGAAAUAAAAUCCAACAUUUAGCUAUUAGAAAUGCCUGAGGAACAGAUAAUGUUCAAGCAUAUAUUGUUUAAUGAAUGGGUCUUAACUUUGAGCUAACUGCUCUAAUAAAUUUGCACACAAUUAACAAGGACCCUAGUCACACUUCCAGUUGUCUGUCUUAAGCUUUCCUUUUUAUUAAAACUUAAAUUAAAGAUUAAAGCCAUUAGUUUCCAUCCAUCAAAGAUAAUACCCAUGAAUUUCACAAAUACAGCACCAGUGUCCAACACAAAUAUAAUGUGAACCAUAAAUGCAAACCACAUAUGUAAUUUUAAAACGUUCUAGUGGCCACAUUUAAAAAGUAAAAAGAGUGAAAUUAAUGUUAAUAAUGUAUUUAACUAGGCUUAGUAUAUCCAAAACAUUAUCAUUUCAAUACAAUUAUAAUAUAAAAAUAUUAAUGAGAUUUUAACCUAUUUUGUACUAUGCCUUUAAAAUCCAGUGUGCAUUUUAUAUUUAUUGCACUAGUCAAGUGUACAAGAGCCACAUGUGGAUUGGCUACCAUAUAGGACAGUGCAGAGCUAGUAUCCCACGGAUAAGGGCUCUCUACUGCUUAUACCAAUUUUGUUGUUAUGAAAUAAAAUGGAAAGAGAAUACUGUCUGCUAUAGGAGUACUACAAUAUUUCCCCAACUGCAGCAUAGCAGUACCAAGUACUGUAUGGUGGAAAAACAGAUUUUGUGACUAAGUAAGUUAGGGAUGUUUUAGUCUUUUAUCCUCUUUUGGAGAUUCCAUGGCACAUUAACAAAUACAGACUCUUAAGCCAACUCCUGGGUAAAGAAUCCUGUUUGAAGUUGAGUUCUGUGUCCAUAAGUAUUGUAGAAAUUGCCACGAGUGUCUCUACGGAAAAAAAACAAAAACAAAAACAACUUGGUGUUUUCAUCUCCUUCUUCAUGCUCUUUGGAGCAUCUCUACUCCCCCCCAUCCCCCCCCCCAUCACCUGAGAACCAAGUUAACUUUUUUGUUCUAGAACAACCACUUCCUAAACUGAAACCAUCAUAUGGCUUUAAGUUCUUCCACAUGGACAUAGAUCUUCAGAAAGUACCUAAAUAUACACAUUCUUCUUAACUUUCAGACAUGAUGAAUACUUUAAAAAGAUGAGGGAAGAAACAUCAGAAUGUGUACUUGUGUAAACACAGAAUCUAUCCAUGUCGAGUUCUGUAGAUGCUUUCUUUUUAUGUGUAUGGUGUUAAUUUCCACGCUUCACUGUGUACUCUUCUUGUAUUGUGUAUGAAGUAACUGACAUAGCAGUCAAUUUAAAGAAGAUUUAGACUAUACUUGUCUACUGUCACUCUUUAACAAAUGACCUUUUUGCAACAUGAUUUUACUGGGGCCUGUGAUGCUGUCCCCAUAAGUUCACUUUUAAGAUCUGUGUUUAAGUGGCAAUUACCACUAAAUUAAUUCUGCCACUGAAUUUGGUUCAAGUGGCUGUAGUAACCUCAUAUGUGGAUGUAUUCAAAUAAGUAGAUUGAUUUAAAUGAUCGAUUUUGUCUCCUAUUUUUUAGGACUUUAGUUUUUCAGUAUUAGAGAUGUCUUCUGAAGACUGUAGUAGCAGUAAAGAAUUCUUUUGAUCUUGGAAAUGCAGUAGAACAUGUUUUUUACAUAGACUCUCCAGGAGCAGGAGUGGAGUAUUCUAAGUGUAAAAGUUUGAUUUUAGAAUCUGAUAAGGAAGGGCAAUCCAUUCUCUAAAAAGGUAACAGCUUCCCCAACUUUGAACAUUCAGAGGAGUUCUGCUUGGAAGGGAAGUCUGAAUUUUAAUCUCUUGGAUUUAAUGGCGCUAAAUUAACAAAAAUUUAAAAAAUAGAUUUUGUAGAAUUCAAUUAUUAGAGAAAACACUUUGUAAAGCCAUAUACAACUGAGGAAUAGUCAAACAUUAUAUAUUAGCUUGAGAAUGUGCAUUUCCCAAAUGAAUAGAAUUUACUUUACAAAAAAAAUUUUUUUUCACAAUUCACAAUACUUAUAGAAAUACGAUUGUAUCAUUGGAAAAAAAGAACUCAUUUUCCUAAUGAUACAUUUCACAAGUAGCAAAUUAGUGCUAUUCCGUGAUUAUGGUGGGGGGGGAGUGUAAAGGAAUAAAAUGCCAAUAUAGUAUAACUGUUUAUUCCUAACUAGGAAUAAAUAAUUACCAUUAUUUAAAGUACUACUGAAUUUUGAAGAACUGCUCAGUGAAUGAGUGUUAUUAGUAAAAUUGUAUUCUUUACAAUAUAUUUGUCUCAGCACAGAUGCAGAGUUAAAAACAUAAAUUAUAAAAAUAUACCAAAUAAUAGAAAUUAGUCGUUACUACUUUAAAAUCCUAUUAAUCUGUUGUGUAUAACAAAAAUUUUGAAAGACUUGCACACAAAAUAAAAGGCUUUAAAAACAAUGCCUUUUUGUCAAAACAAGUCAGCAAGCUGACCUCUUGUUAAUUAUUUUAGUUCCUUAGGGGAACUUUAAAUUGCUUUCAAAGACACAUUAGUAACAAGUGGUUCUAAAUUUAGAGCAGAACAUUCUGCCAGAAAUUUUACUGUAUCACAAAAUGUCAUACUACCACACUUUCUAAUAAAACCAAACUCUCAAGUAUCCUGAUAUGUUACAUAUUAUACCAAAACAUCACUUUCUAUAAGUCUAUUAUUCUGUAUACAUAAUAUUUUUAAGAAGUAAUGACUAUUUCGGUCCUAGUAAGAAAAUAUAGUGCAAAAUAUGACAUCAAAUUGAUCUUUAGUGAUUUUAGUGAAAAUCCACUUAGGCGUUUGUCAAGGACACUAGCAAUUACAAGCUGUAACGUACAUGUUAUUCUCAAAGAUAAAAUGGCAAAUGACAACAGAGAAAGACAUGGUCACUGGGGUAAAUUAGUUGGUGUACAGACCAACAAAGAAAGAUCGACUUAAAAAUGCUCAGCGGAUUUUAGCUUUUGUUCCUGGUUGUUCCUGGAGUGGGAAGUACUACAGUUGAUAUUGCUUUUCUUCUUGUAAGGAGUUUGCUCAAAGCCACUGCAUAGUAUGAUGAAAUAUCUUCAGAUGGAAGAUUGAGUCAGAAGAUUAGAGAUGCACCUGUUUAUAAAACUGUUACUAUGUUCUAAACACUGUGAUCUUUCCAAUAUGUUUUCUGUAUUAGUUUUGUACUUGUAGAAAAUAAUUUGCCAUAAACUGGUCUUUAUAGUGUUUAAAGUGAUGUUAUUUAUUGGCUUACUGCCUCCCUGCACCAUAACACAGUCCACUUAAUAAUGUAAAACCUGUGAUAAUCCUUGGCCUUAAAAUCUAAUGCUAAAUAGUUACUGUGUUCCAAUUAAUAAUAUAAGCUACUAAUUAAUUUUCCUUUGAAAGCUAAAUAAAACAUUAUAC
rnacentral:lncRNA from 1 species